CCUACGGGCGGCAGCAGUGGGGAAUAUUGGACAAUGGGCGAAAGCCUGAUCCAGCCAUGCCGCGUGUGUGAAGAAGGCCUUCGGGUUGUAAAGCACUUUCAGUGGGGAAGAAAGCCUUGGGGCUAAUACCCUCGAGGAAGGACAUCACCCACAGAAGAAGCACCGGCUAACUCCGUGCCAGCAGCCGCGGUAAUACGGAGGGUGCGAGCGUUAAUCGGAAUUACUGGGCGUAAAGCGCGCGUAGGCGGUCUGAUAAGCCGGUUGUGAAAGCCCCGGGCUCAACCUGGGAACGGCAUCCGGAACUGUCAGGCUAGAGUGCAGGAGAGGAAGGUAGAAUUCCCGGUGUAGCGGUGAAAUGCGUAGAGAUCGGGAGGAAUAACAGUGGCGAAGGCGGCCUUCUGGACUGACACUGACGCUGAGGUGCGAAAGCGUGGGUAGCAAACAGGAUUAGAUACCCUAGUAGUC
rnacentral:rRNA from 1 species